rnacentral:misc_RNA from 1 species
GAUGAAGAACGUAGCGAAAUGCGAUACUUGGUGUGAAUUGCAGAAUCCCGUGAACCAUCGAGUCUUUGAACGCAAGUUGCGCCCGAAGCCAUUAGGCCGAGGGCACGCCUGCCUGGGUGUCACACACCGUUACCCUCGCGCCAACGUCCAUCGUUGGCCGCGGCGCGGGGCGUGCGCUGACCUCCCGCGAGCGGGGUCUCGUGGUUGGUUGAAAAUCGAGUUCGCGGUCGAGGGUGCCGUGAUGAAAUGGUGGAUGGGCGACGCCCGAGGCCAAUCACGCGCGACUCUGUCCGGCUCGGACCCCUGGACCCCUUCGGCGUCUCCGGACGCUCUUUGGCGAGACCUCAGGUCAGGCGGGGCUACCCGCUGAGUUUAAGCAUAUCAAUAAGCGGAGGA